UAAUUAUUAUAAGGGAAAUUCAUAAGAAUAGCCUUGAAUCAUUCCCAAGCUUGGUGAAGAUUCUCUCUAUUCUUAUGCAUAAAACUCAGAAUAUCACUUCUCAAAUA
rfam:Capsicum annuum cultivar Zunla-1 chromosome 1, whole genome shotgun sequence